rnacentral:rRNA from 1 species
UUCGCAAUGCCCGAAAGGGUGACGAAGCGACGCCGCGUGUGGGAAGAAGGCCUUCGGGUUGUAAACCACUGUCGGGAGUUAAGAAAUGCAAGGGUGCUAAUAGUAUCCUUGCUUGACUAAGGCUCCGGAGGAAGCCACGGCUAACUCUGUGCCAGCAGCCGCGGUAAUACAGAGGCGGCAAGCGUUGUUCGGAAUUAUUGGGCGUAAAGAGCACGUAGGCGGCUAUGUAAGUCGGUUGUGAAAGCCUUCCGCUCAACGGAAGAACAGCAUCCGAUACUGCAUGGCUUGAGUGCGGGAGGGGAGAGUGGAACUUCUGGUGGAGCGGUGAAAUGCGUAGAUAUCAGAAGGAACGCCGGCGGCGAAAGCGGCUCUCUGGCCCAUAACUGACGCUGAGUGCGCGAAAGCUAGGGGAGCGAACGGGAUUAGAUACCCCGGUAGUCCUAGCCGUAAACGAUGGGCACUAAGUAGAGGGGUUUU